GCCACCCUGUAGCAGGAAAUCCUUGGCAAGGGGUCUCUGAGAGUCACAAAUAAAUCUUCACACUAAUUAAACAAAUUAAUUGUCUCCUGCAAAUCCCCCCCUCC